rnacentral:rRNA from 1 species
GAUGAACGCUGGCGGCGUGCCUAAUACAUGCAAGUCGAGCAGUAAGGCCUCUUCGGAGGUACACGAGCGGCGGACGGCUGAGUAACGCGUAGGAACGUACCCCAAAGUGAGGGAUAAGCACCAGAAAUGGUGUCUAAUACCGCAUGUGGCCCACGGGCUAAAGCUUCGGCGCUUUGGGAACGGCCUGCGUAAGAUUAGCUAGUUGGUGAGGUAAUGGCUCACCAAGGCGACGAUCUUUAGCUGGUCUGAGAGGAUGAUCAGCCAGACUGGGACUGAGACACGGCCCAGACUCCUACGGGAGGCAGCAGUAGGGAAUUUUCCACAAUGGGCGAAAGCCUGAUGGAGCAACGCCGCGUGCAGGAUGAAUGCCUUCGGGUUGUAAACUGCUUUUAUAUGCGACGAAUAUGACGGUAGCAUAUGAAUAAGGAUCGGCUAACUCCGUGCCAGCCGCCGCCGUAA